AACGAACGCUGGCGGCGCGCCUAAUACAUGCAAGUCGAGCGAGAAGACGUAGCAAUACGUUUGUAAAGCGGCGAACGGGUGAGGAAUACAUGGGUAACCUACCCUCGAGUGGGGAAUAACUAGCCGAAAGGUUAGCUAAUACCGCGUACGCUCCUUGGACUUCGGUUCAGGGAGGAAAGCGAUACCGUGGGCAUCGCGCUCUUGGAUGGGCUCAUGUCCUAUCAGCUUGUUGGUGAGGUAACGGCUCACCAAGGCUUCGACGGGUAGCUGGUCUGAGAGGACAAUCAGCCACACUGGCACUGCGACACGGGCCAGACUCCUACGGGAGGCAGCAGUAAGGAAUAUUGCGCAAGUGGGCGAAAGCCUGACGCAGCGACGCCGCGGUGGGGGACGAAGGUCUUCGGAUUU
rnacentral:rRNA from 1 species